AUUGAACGCUGGCGGCAUGCCUUACACAUGCAAGUCGAACGGCAGCGGGGGAGAAGCUUGCUUUUCCUGCCGGCGAGUGGCGAACGGGUGAGUAAUACAUCGGAACGUGCCCUGUAGUGGGGGAUAACUAGUCGAAAGAUUAGCUAAUACCGCAUACGACCUGAGGGUGAAAGUGGGGGACCGCAAGGCCUCAUGCUAUAGGAGCGGCCGAUGUCUGAUUAGCUAGUUGGUGGGGUAAAGGCCUACCAAGGCGACGAUCAGUAGCUGGUCUGAGAGGACGAUCAGCCAAACUGGGACUGAGAAACGGCCCAGACUCCUACGGGAGGCAGCGGUGGGGAAUUUUGGACAAUGGGCGAAAGCCUGAUCCAGCAAUGCCGCGUGUGUGAAGAAGGCCUUCGGGUUGUAAAGCACUUUUGUCCGGAAGGAAAUGGCUCUGGUUAAUACCUGGGGUCGAUGACGGUACCGCAAGAAUAAGGACCGGCUAACUACGUGCCAGCAGCCGCCUAA
rnacentral:rRNA from 1 species